rnacentral:tRNA from 1 species
GUGGGAGUAGCUCAACUGGCAGAGCACCGGACUGUGGCUCCGGUUGUUGCGGGUUCGAUUCCCGUCUCCCACCCCA